CCCAACCCUGGCCUCUCUUUCCCCUUUAUUCUCUUUCUUCUCUUCGCUCUACCCAACUGCUGCCCGGCGCUCGACUAGCGAUCCAUCGCCCUAACGCUGCUCGAACGGCCAUCCCUCCACCGAACCACCACCACCUAUCUCGCAGGUACGAAAGCUGAUGCAAUGUAUUUUCACUACCCACCAUGGCUGCAAAACUCAUUUAUGGUCAAUCUCCACAUAUGAAAAGUCCCUCCACAGUGCCAACAUGUUGCAUGUUGCAAUUGCCUUAUCCGAAAUAUUUACGCCUUUUGCACACAUGAUCUGUUGGGGAAUAUGAUCACGAUAUGCCCGGGCAUUUGGCAAUUA